rnacentral:rRNA from 1 species
UACAGAGGUGGCAAGCGUUGUUCGGAAUUACUGGGCGUAAAGGGCGCGUAGGCGGCCUUUCAAGUGACGGGUGAAAUCCCUCGGCUUAACCGAGGAACUGCCUGUCAGACUGGAAGGCUUGAGACCGGGAGAGGUGAGUGGAAUUCCCAGUGUAGCGGUGAAAUGCGUAGAUAUUGGGAGGAACACCAGUGGCGAAGGCGGCUCACUGGACCGGUACUGACGCUGAGGCGCGAAAGCGUGGGGAGCAAACAGG